rnacentral:rRNA from 1 species
CCUACGGGGGGCAGCAGGGAAUCUUCCACAAUGGACGAAAGUCUGCUGGAGCAACGCCGCGUGUGUGAUGAAGGGUUUCGGCUCGUAAAACACUGUUGUAAGAGAAGAAUGACAUUGAGAGUAACUGUUCAGUGUGUGACGGUAUCUUACCAGAAAGGAACGGCUAAAUACGUGCCAGCAGCCGCGGCAAUACGUAUGUUCCAAGCGGUGUCCGGAUUUAUUGGGCGUAAAGCGAGCGCAGCCGGUUGUAUAAGUCCGAAGCGAAAGCCCCCAGCUUAACUGUGGAAGUGCUUCAGAAACUGGAUAACUAGAGUGCAGUAGAGGGGAGUGGAACUCCGUGUGUAGCGGUGAAAUGCGUAGAUAUAUGGAAGAACACCAGUGGCGAAGGCGGCUCUCUGGACUGUAACUGACGUUGAGGCUCGAAAGUGUGGGUAGCAAACAGGAUUAGAUACCCUAGUAGUC